UACGGAGGGGGCUAACGUUGUUCGGAAUUACUGGGCGUAAAGCGAGUGUAGGCGGUGUGGUAAGUCGGAUGUGAAAGCCCCGGGCUCAACCCGGGAAGUGCACUCGAUACUGCCACGCUAGAGUAUCGGAGAGGUUGGUGGAAUUCUCGGUGUAGAGGUGAAAUUCGUAGAUAUCGAGAGGAACACCGGUGGUGAAGGCGGCCAACUGGACGAAUACUGACGCUGAGACUCGAAAGCGUGGGGAGCAAACAGG
rnacentral:rRNA from 1 species